GAUGAAGAACGUAGCGAAAUGCGAUAAGUAGUGUGAAUUGCAGAAUUCAGUGAAUCAUCGAAUCUUUGAACGUACAUUGCGCCCUUUGGUAUUCCUUAGGGCAUGCCUGUUCGAGCGUCAUUUCAACCCUCAAGCCCUGCUUGGUGUUGGGCGUUUGUCCUGCCUCCGCGCGGGACUCGCCUCAAAGACAUUGGCGGCCGGUUUCCCUUUGCAGGCCACGAGCGCAGCACAGCGAGCGCUCUACGUGGACGCGGGGUCGGCGCACCAGAAGCCCUCUUUCUCGAAUUUUGACCUCGGAUCAGGUAGGGAUACCCGCUGAACUUAAGCAUAUCAAUAAGCGGAGGA
rnacentral:misc_RNA from 1 species